rnacentral:sRNA from 1 species
CCCUUACCCAUUUAUGAAGUGGUCCAUGGACGUCGUAGGUCCCAUGGAAGCCUCCGGUGGGAAGAAGAGACUAAAAAACCUGCUGGUCCUCACCGACUAUUCUACCAAAUGGUUUGAGGCUAAAGCCUUCCAACAGGUAACCAAGAAACAAGUCGAGGACUUCCUAUGGGAAAACAUCGUAUGCCGACACGGCAUACCUUAUGAGAUCGUCACCGAUAACGGGACUAACCUCACCUCGGGAAAAAUCAAAGCAUUUUGCGACAAGUGGAAGAUCCGUCUUACCAUAUCCACCCCCGUUACCCACAAGGUAACGGACAGGCAGAAGCCGCCAACAAAGUUAUACUUAGCAACAUCAAGAAAAGACUUGAUUCAAAAAAAUCAAUGUGGUCCGACGUGCUCCACGGAGUUCUCUGGGCCUACCGAACCACACCUCGCAAAUCAACGCAAGAAACACUGUUCUCCCUUGCUUAUGGUUUAGAAGCAGUAAUCCCUGUCGAAACCAUGGUACCAAGCGUGAGAUUCGCCCGCUACUAUAACUCCAAUAUCAAAAUUCGGAGAUUCGAAGUGGGAGAGCUU